GCAUGGUUGUCGUCAGCUCGUGUCGUGAGAUGUUGGUUAAGUCCCGCAACGAGCGCAACCCUUAUUGCUAGUUACCAUCAUUGAGUUGGGGACUCUAGCGAGACUGCCAGCGAUAAGCUGGAGGAAGUGGGGAUGACGUCAAAUCAUCAUGCCCCUUAUGACCUGGGCUACAAACGUGAUACAAUGGCUGGAACAAAGGGAGGCGAAGGGGUGACCUGGAGCGAAACCCAAAAAUACAGUCUCAGUUCGGAUUGAAGUCUGCAACUCGACUUCAUGAAGUCGGAAUCGCUAGUAAUCGCGGAUCAGAACGCCGCGGUGAAUACGUUCUCGGGGUUU
rnacentral:rRNA from 1 species